rnacentral:tRNA from 1 species
AUUACUUUGGCAGAUAAGUGUAUUAAAUUUAGAAUUUAAUUAUGUAUAAAUAAAUUGAAGUAUUAUACAAGUAAUA